rnacentral:rRNA from 1 species
GACGAACGCUGGCGCCGUGCUUAACACAUGCAAGUCGAACGGUGAAGCUCCAGCUUGCUGGAGUGGAUCAGUGGCGAACGGGUGAGUAACACGUGAGCAACCUGCCCCUGACUCUGGAAUAAGCGCUGGAAACGGCGUCUAAUACUGGAUACGAGAAGGGUCCGCAUGGGCACUUUCUGGAAAGUUUUUCGGUUGGGGAUGGGCUCGCGGCCUAUCAGCUUGUUGGUGAGGUACUGGCUCACCAAGGCGACGACGGGUAGCCGGCCUGAGAGGGCGACCGGCCACAUGGGAACGAGGAAAGGCCCAGACCGCCAACGGGGGGAAGCGGUGGGAAAAUUUGCAAAAGGGGCGAAGGCUGGAUGCAGGGACGCCGGGGGGGGAAGGACGGCUUUGGGGGUGAAACCGCCUUUAGGCAGGAAGGAGCGGAAGGGACGGUACCCUCAGAAGAAGCACCGGCCAACUUCGGG